UACGUAGGGGGCAAGCGUUGUCCGGAAUCAUUGGGCGUUAAGCGCGUGUAGGCGGUCUGGUAAGUCCGCUGUGAAAGUCGGGGGCUCAACCCUCGGAUGCCGGUGGAUACUGUCGGGCUUGAGUACGGAAGAGGCGAGUGGAAUUCCUGGUGUAGCGGUGAAAUGCGCAGAUAUCAGGAGGAACACCAAUUGCGAAGGCAGCUCGCUGGGACGUUACUGACGCUGAGACGCGAAAGCGUGGGGAGCAAACAGG
rnacentral:rRNA from 1 species